rnacentral:lncRNA from 1 species
GCAGCCCACGAAACGUCCGCACAUCUCUUAAUAACGAAACCUAAGGCUAAUCCCAAUGGAGAGUUUCAUUUUGAUGUUUCCAAGAUAGCCACAUAAGUAACAUGAAAAUGAAAUUGUAUUUGAAACUACCUCUACAAUGCAAAAUUUCAUGGUGUAGUUUCAUAUGCACUACAUACAAGACACAAACUGUGUUGGUAACUGUGCAUACAUGAUUUCAUCUAGAUGAAACCCCUCUUACCUCUCUCCUCAUUAACUCACUGCCACAUCAUCAAAAAUGCUGACAUGACACCCUAAUUAAUGUGCAUGAAACCUCUAUGAAACCUGCACUGGGAUUAGUCUAAGCCAAGCUCUAAUAUAUCAUUGGGCCACGUCUCUUUUUUUAAUCUCUUAAUAACGAAACCUAAGCCAAGCUUCUAGUGUAUCAUUGGGCCACGUCUCUUUUUUUUAAUCAGCCGUCGGAUGUUGAUCAGGCGUCCAGUGUGGGCACUACAGCUAGCGUUCCAGAGGCUUCGUCCACACCGGUUUUCAGCUUGCACCGCCGCUGGUUGUUCCCCUCCGCGGCUCCGCUGCUGUCGCCUCCUCCAACUCGUUCGUCCUCCAUCAUCCCCAUCCGCCUCGGCGCACAUGCUCGCAGUCCUCUCCUCCAA